UAGCAAUCCCAAUUGCCCUUUUCCUCACCCGACUAGAAUCUGUGUUCAGAAACUGCCGAGCAUUGAGAUUCUUGAGUCCUCAACCCAAAGAGGAGCUGAGUGUGAAACCAAUCAUGUGAGUCCAGGCAUCUCAAAGGUACCAACAGGAAGCCCCUCCACUAGAGGGUGUCCUAGGAAGUGCCAGAGAAGAACUCAAGUCAACCACCAAAUCCACACAUGUGUCCCCAUCACGCAGAGAAUGCCAGAGAUUUCAGAGGAGUAGGCAUGAAGUUACAAAGAAAGGGGGACUACAGGCUGAAAGUCAGUAUUUUUAAAGGGUCAGAAGUAUAAAAGAUGCUGCCGCUGCUGCUAAGUCG